UAAGUACUACUUAGGUGGAGCUAACCCAUUUACUGUUGGAUAUGAGGUAGAUGAUUCUAAUAUCUGAUCACUUUACCACCUCUUUCUUCACUACUUUUUGCAUGUUCGGGUUCAAUCUUUUCUACAUGUCUCAGUGGGGUUUGGCAUUUGCCUCACAAUGAAUGUGGUACAUAUAGAUGGAGAGAUCAAUUCUCUUUAGAUCGAUAAUAAACCAAUCGAUAACCUCUUUGUG
rnacentral:lncRNA from 1 species